rnacentral:lncRNA from 1 species
UACUGGGAACAUCUCUUACAAAGGACUGCUAAACGCAGUUUCUUUCCAGCCCUGAUCUCCCUGAAGUAGAACUUCUGCUGGAUCGUGUCCUCCAUUGCCUUAGAGGUGCAAUGCACGAAGUCCUGCAUUCUUUCGUCAAGGGGAGACAUGACACAAACUGUCUUGCUUCCAGCUCUUUGCAAAGCUAAGAAACAACACCCUCUCCUCAGUGCUCUUACAGCCGAUCACAAACAGGUCUUACCAAGGCAUGUGAAAUGCAGUUUCUUCCAAGCCCUGAUCUCGCUGAAGUAGAACUUCUGCGGUGCCAUGUCCUACAUUGUCCUAGAGGUGGAAGGCAGAAAGCCCAGCCUUGUUUCCUCAAGAGGAGACAGGCCACAGAACGUCUUGCUUCCAGCUCUUUGGGAAGCUAUGAAACAACUCGCUCUCCACAGUGCUCUUAAAGCCUACCAGGAACAUCUCUCACAAAGGCUUGUGAAAAGCAGUUUAUUCCCAGCCCUGAUCUCGCUAAAGUAGAACUUUGGCUCUGCUGUAUCUUACAUUGCCCUAGAGGUGCAAGGCAAAAUGUCCUGCCUUGUUUCCUCAAGGGUAGGAAGGCCACAAAGCGUCUUGCUUCCAGUUCUUUGGGAAGCUAAGAAACAACUCCCUCUCCACAGUGCUCUGAGAGCCUACCGGGAACAUGUCUUACAAAGGCCUGUGAAACGCAGUUUCUUCCCAGCCCUGAUCUCAAUGAAGUAGAACUUCUGCUCUGCUGUGAAAUACAUUGCCCUAGAGGUGGAAGUCACAAUGGCCUGCCUGGCUUCCUGAAGACCAGACAGGCCACAGACCAUCUCCCUUCCAGCUCUUUGGCAAGGUGAGAAAGAACUUGCUUUCCACAGGGCUCUUACAGCCUACCGGGAAACUCUCAAACAAAGGCCUGAAUAGUAGUUGGUUUGCAGGCAUGAUCUCACUGCCUUGGAACUUCUGCUCUAAGCCAUGUCCCACAUUGCUCUAGAGAUGGAAGACACAAAGCACUGAGUCAGUGCCGCCAAAGGAGAAAAGCCAUAAACGUCCUUGCUUCCAGCUCUUUGGGAAGCUAAGAAACAACUCACUCUCCACAGUGCUCUUACGGCCUACCGGGAACAUCUCUCACAAAGGUCUGUGAAACACAGUUUCUUCCCAGCCAUGAUCUCGCUGAAGUAGAACUUCUGUUCUGCCUUGUCCUACAUUGCCCUAGAUGUUCAAGGCACAAUAUCCUGCCUGGUUACCUGAAAGGGAGGAAGACCACAAAGCGUCUUGCUUCCAGCUCUUUUGGAAGCUAAGAAACAAGGCACUCGCCACAGUGCUCUUACAGCUACCGGGAACAUCUCUCUCAAAGAUCUGUGAAACACAGUUUGUUCCCAUCCCUGAUCUCGCUGAAGUAGAACUUCUCCUCUGCCAGUCCUACAUUGCCCUAGAGGUGCAACACACAACGUCCUGCCUCGUUUCCUCAAGGGGAGACAGUCCACAAAGCGUCUUGCAUCCAGCUCUUUGGGAAGCUAAGAAACAUGUCGCUAUCCACAGUGCUCUUACAGCCUACCUGGAGCAUCUCUCACAAAGGACUGUGAAACGCAGUUUCUUUCCAGCCCUGUUCUCACUGAAGAAGAACUUCUGCUCUGCUGUGUCCUACAUUGAACUAGAGGUGCAAGGCUCAAAAUCCUGCCUUGUUUCCUCAAGGGUAGACAGGCCACAAAGCGUCUUUCUUCCAGGUCUUUGGGAAGGUAAGAAACAACUCGCUCUCCACAGUGCUCUUACAGCCUACCGGGAACAUGUCUCACAAAGGCUUGUGAAACGCAGUUUCUUCCCAGCCCUGAUCUCGCUGAAGAAGAACUUCUGCUCUGCCAUGUAAUACAUUGCCAUAGAGGUGGAAGUCACGAAGCCCUGCCUGGCUUCCUUAAGAGGUGAGAGGCCACAGACGGUCUUGUUUCCAGCUCUUUCCAAGGGGAGAAAGCACUCUCUUUCCCCAUGGCUCCUACAGCCUACAGGGUACCUCUGAUACAAAGAGCUGACACCCAGUUUGUUUCCAGCCCUGAUCUCACCGCCUGGGAACCUCUGCUCCAAGCCAUGAUCUACAUUGCUCUAGAGGUUUAAGUCACAAUGAGCUGAGUCAUUGCCACCAAAGGAGACAAGAAACAAACGGUCUUGCUUCCAGCCCUUUGGCAAGCUAAGAAACAACUGGCUCUCCACAGUGCUCUUACAGCCUACUGGUAACAACUCUUACAAAGGCGUGUGAAACGCAGUUUCUUUCCAGCCCUGAUCUCGCUGAAGUAGAACCUCUACUCUGCCGUGUAAUUCUUUGCCCUAUAGGUGGAAGUCACAAUGUCCUGCCAGGCUUCCUCAAGAGGAGACAGGCCAAAGACCGUCUCGCAUCCAGCUCUUUGGCAAGUGCACUUACAGCCUUCAGGGAACAUCUCUUACAAAGGCCUGUGAAACGCAGUUUCUUCCCAGCCCUGAUCUCGCUGAAGUAGAACUUCUGCUCUGCCGUGUAGUGCAUUGCCCUAGAGGUGGAACUCACAAAGCCCUGCAUGGCUUCCUUAAGAGGAGACAGGCCACAGACCGUCUUGCUUCCAGCUCUUUCCCAAGGUGAGAAAGAACUCGCUUUCCCCUGGGCUCUUAGAGCCUAUCGGAAACGUCUGAUACAAAGACCAGAAAUGCAGUUUGUUUCCUGCCCAGUUCUCUCGGCCUUGGACUUCUACUCGAAGCCAUGUCCUACAUUGCUAUAGAGGUGGAAGUGAGAAAGCUAUGAGUCAUUGCCUCCAAAGGAGACAAACCACAAACUGUCUUGCUUCCAGCCCUUUUGAAAGCUACGAAACAACUCUCUCUCCACAGUGCUCUUAAAGCCUACCGGGAACAUCUCUUACAAAGGCCUGUGAAACACAGUUCUUGCCAGCCCUGACCGCGCUGAAGUAGAACUUCUGCUCUGCCGUGUUCUACAUUGCUCUAGAGGUGGAAGUGAGAAAGCUAUGAGUCAUUGCCUCCAAAGGAGACAAGACACAAACGGUCUUUCUUCCAGCUCUAGGAAGCUAAGAAACAAGUGGCUCUCCAUCUUGCUCUUAUAGCCUACUGGGAACAUCACUUACAAAGACCUGUGAAACGCAGUUUCUUUCCAGCCCUGAUAUCCCUGAAGUAGAACUUCUGCCCUGCCAUGUCCUACAUUUCCCUAGAGAUCCAAGGCACAAAGUAUUGCCUUGUUUUCUCAAGGGAAGAGAGGCCACAAAGCUUCUUCCUUCGAGAUCUUUGGGAAGAUAAGAAACAACUUGGUCUCCACACUGCUCUUAAAGCCUACCGGGAACAUCUCUUACAAAUGCCUGUGAAAUGCAGCUUCUUCCCAGCCCUGAUCUCGCUGAAGUAGAACUUCUGCUCUGCCGUGUAAUAUAUUUCCCUAGAGGUGGAAGUCACAAAGGGCUGAGUCAUUCCCACCAAAGGAGACAAGCCACAAACGGUCUUGCUUCCAGCUGUUUUGGAAGCUAAGAAACAACUCGCUCUCCACAGUGGUCUUACAUCCUACUUGGAACUUCUCUCAGAAAUCCUAUGAAACGCAGUUUCUUCCCAGCCAUGUUCUUGCUGAAGUAUAAAUUCUGUUCUGCCGUGGAAUACAUUGCCCUAGAGGUGGAAGUCACAAAGCCCUUCCUGGCUCCAAGAUGAGACAGGCCACAGAUUGUCUUGCUUACAGCUCUUUCACAAGGUGAGAAAGAACUCGCUUUCCCCUGGGCUCUAACAGAGUAACGGGAACCUCUGAUACAAAGACCUGAAAUGCAGUUUGUUUCCAGUCCAGAUGUCACCGCCUUGGAACUUCUGCUAUAAGCCCUGUGGUACAUUGCUAUAGAGGUGGAAGUGACAAAGUGAUGACUCAUUGCCUCCCAAGGAGACAAGCCACAAACCUUCUUGCUUUCAGCUCUUUGGGAAGCUAAGAAACAACUCGAUCUCCACAGUGCUGUUACAGCCUACCGGCACCAUCUCUCACAAAGGCCUGUCAAAUGCCGUUCUUUCCAACCCUGAUCUCGCUGAAGUAGCACUCCUGCUCUGCCGUGUCCUACAUUGAACUAGAGGUGCAAGGCACAAAUUCCUGCCUUGUUUCUUCAAGGGGAGACAGGCCACAAAUCUUCUUGGUUCCAGCUCUUUGGGAAGCUAAGAAACAACUUGCUCUCCAGAGUUCUCUUACAGGCUACCGGGAACAUCUCUCACAAAGCCCUGUGAAACGCAGUUUCUUUCCAGCACUGAUCUUGCUGAAGUAGAACUUCUGCUCUGUCCUGUCCUACAUUGCCCAAGAGGUGCAAGGCACAAAGUCCUGCCUUGUUUCCUCAAGGGGAGACAGGUCACAAAGCCUCUUGCUUCCAGCUCUUUCACAACGUGACAAAUAACUCGCUUUCCCCUGGGCUCUUACAGUCUAUAGGCAAGUUCUGAUACAAAGACCUGAAAUGCAGUUUGUUUCCAUCCCAGUUCUGGGCGUCUUGGUACUUCUACUCGAAGUCAUGUCCUACAUUGCUCUAGAGGUGGAAGAGACAAAGCUAUGAGUCAUUACUUCGAAAGAAGACAAACCACAAACGGUCUCGCUUCCAGCUCUUUGGGAAGCUAAGAAACAACUCGGUCUCCACAGUACUCUUAAAGCCUACCGGGAACAUCUCUUACAAAGUCCUGAGAAACGCAGUUUCUUCCCAGCCCUGAUGUCGCUGAAGUAGAUCUUCUGCUCUGCAAUGUCCUACAUAGCUCUAGAGGUGGAAGUGACAAAGCUAUGAGUCAUUGCCUCCAAAGGAGACAAGCCACAAAGGGUCUUUCUUCCAG